rnacentral:rRNA from 1 species
GCCCCAGUAACGGCGAGUGAAGCGGCAACAGCUCAAAUUUGAAAUCUGGUCCCUAGGGCCCGAGUUGUAAUUUGUAGAGGAUGCUUUUGGUGAGGUGCCGCCCGAGUUCCCUGGAACGGGACGCCACAGAGGGUGAGAGCCCCGUCUGGCUGGCCGCCGAGCCUCUGUAAAGCUCCUUCGACGAGUCGAGUAGUUUGGGAAUGCUGCUCAAAAUGGGAGGUAUAUGUCUUCUAAAGCUAAAUAUUGGCCAGAGACCGAUAGCGCACAAGUAGAGUGAUCGAAAGAUGAAAAGCACCUUGAAAAGAGGGUUAAAUAGUACGUGAAAUUGUUGAAAGGGAAGCGCUUGUGACCAGACUUGGGCGCGGCGGAUCAUCCGGGGUUCUCUCCGGUGCACUUCGCCGCGUCUAGGCCAGCAUCAGUUCGUCGCGGGGGAAAAAGGCUUCGGGAACGUGGCUCCUCCGGGAGUGUUAUAGCCCGUUGCAUAAUACCCUGCGGUGGACUGAGGACCGCGCAUCUGCAAGGAUGCUGGCGUAAUGGUCACCAGCGACCCGUCUUGAAACACGGACCAAGGAGUCGUCUUCGUAUGCGAGUGUUCGGGUGUCAAACCCCUACGCGUAAUGAAAGUGAACGCAGGUGAGAGCUUCGGCGCAUCAUCGACCGAUCCUGAUGUUCUCGGAUGGAUUUGAGUAAGAGCAUACGGGGCCGGACCCGAAAGAAGGUGAACUAUGCCUGUAUAGGGUGAAGCCAGAGGAAACUCUGGUGGAGGCUCGCAGCGGUUCUGACGUGCAAAUCGAUCGUCAAAUAUGGGCAUGGGGGCGAA